rnacentral:rRNA from 1 species
CCUACGGGUGGCAGCAGUGAGGAAUAUUGGUCAAUGGACGCAAGUCUGAACCAGCCACGCCGCGUGCAGGAAGACGGCUCUAUGAGUUGUAAACUGCUUUUGUACGGGGGUAAACGCAAAUACGCGUAUCUGUUAGGAAGUAUCUUACUAAUAAGGAUCGGCUAACUCCGUGCCAACAGCCGCGGUAAUCCGGAGGAUUCAAGCGUUUUCCGGAUUUAUUGGGUUUAAAGGGUGCGGAGGGUGUCGGAUAAGUUAGAUGUGAAAUCCCGAGGCUCAACUUCUGAACUGCCUCUGAUACUGUUCGGCUAGAGAGUAGUAGAGGUAGGCGGAAUGUGUGGUGUAGCGGUGAAAUGCUUAGAGAUCAGGCAGAACACCGAUUGCGAAGGCAGCUUACCGGGCGACUACUGACGUUGAGGCACGAAAGCGUGGGGAGCAAACAGGAUUAGAUACCCGAGUAGUC